rnacentral:rRNA from 1 species
CCUACGGGUGGCUGCAGUGAGGAAUAUUGGUCAAUGGGCUGAAGCCUGAACCAGCCAAGUCGCGUGAGGGAAUAAUGCCCUAUGGGUCGUAAACCUCUUUUGCCGGGGAGCAACGGCGGCGACGUGUCGCCGGACGGAGAGUACCUGAAGAAAAAGCAUCGGCUAACUCCGUGCCAGCAGCCGCGGUAAUACGGAGGAUGCGAGCGUUAUCCGGAUUUAUUGGGUUUAAAGGGUGCGUAGGCGGAAUGUUAAGUCAGCGGUAAAAUUUCGGGGCUCAACCCCGUCCGGCCGUUGAAACUGGGGGCCUUGAGUGGGCGAGAAGAAGGCGGAAUGCGUGGUGUAGCGGUGAAAUGCAUAGAUAUCACGCAGAACGCCGAUUGCGAAGGCAGCCUUCCGGCGCCCAACUGACGCUGAGGCACGAAAGUGCGGGGAUCGAACAGGAUUAGAUACCCUUGUAGUC